CGAUAGAGGACGAAUUCGCCCUUAGAGUUUGAUCCUGGCCCUUGAGGAACGCUAGCUACAGGCUUAACACAUGCAAGUCGAGGGGCAGCAUGGUCUUAGCUUGCUAAGGCUGAUGGCGACCGGCGCACGGGUGAGUAACACGUAUCCAACCUGCCGUCUACUCUUGGCCAGCCUUCUGAAAGGAAGAUUAAUCCAGGAUGGCAUCAUGAGUUCACAUGUCCGCAUGAUUAAAGGUAUUUUCCGGUAGACGAUGGGGAUGCGUUCCAUUAGAUAGUAGGCGGGGUAACGGCCCACCUAGUCAACGAUGGAUAGGGGUUCUGAGAGGAAGGUCCCCCACAUUGGAACUGAGACACGGUCCAAACUCCUACGGGAGGCAGCAGUGAGGAAUAUUGGUCAAUGGGCGAUGGCCUGAACCAGCCAAGUAGCGUGAAGGAUGACUGCCCUAUGGGUUGUAAACUUCUUUUAUAAAGGAAUAAAGUCGGGUAUGCAUACCCGUUUGCAUGUACUUUAUGAAUAAGGAUCGGCUAACUCCGUGCCAGCAGCCGCGGUAAUACGGAGGAUCCGAGCGUUAUCCGGAUUUAUUGGGUUUAAAGGGAGCGUAGAUGGAUGUUUAAGUCAGUUGUGAAAGUUUGCGGCUCAACCGUAAAAUUGCGGUUGAUACUGGAUGUCUUGAGUGCAGUUGGGGCAGGCGGAAUUCGUGGUGUAGCGGUGAAAUGCUUAGAUAUCACGAAGAACUCCGACUGCGAAGGCAGCCUGCUAAGCUGCAACUGACAUUGAGGCUCGAAAGUGUGGGUAUCAAACAGGAUUAGAUACCCUGGUAGUCCACACGGUAAACGAUGAAUACUCGCUGUUUGCGAUAUACGGCAAGCGGCCAAGCGAAAGCGUUAAGUAUUCCACCUGGGGAGUACGCCGGCAACGGUGAAACUCAAAGGAAUUGACGGGGGCCCGCACAAGCGGAGGAACAUGUGGUUUAAUUCGAUGAUACGCGAGGAACCUUACCCGGGCUUAAAUUGCACUCGAAUGAUCCGGAAACGGUUCAGCUAGCAAUAGCGAGUGUGAAGGUGCUGCAUGGUUGUCGUCAGCUCGUGCCGUGAGGUGUCGGCUUAAGUGCCAUAACGAGCGCAACCCUUGUUGUCAGUUACUAACAGGUGAUGCUGAGGACUCUGACAAGACUGCCAUCGUAAGAUGUGAGGAAGGUGGGGAUGACGUCAAAUCAGCACGGCCCUUACGUCCGGGGCUACACACGUGUUACAAUGUGCGGUACAGAGGGCCGCUACCACGCGAGUGGAUGCCAAUCCCUAAAACCGCUCUCAGUUCGGACUGGAGUCUGCAACCCGACUCCACGAAGCUGGAUUCGCUAGUAAUCGCGCAUCAAUCACGGGGGCGGUGAAUACCUUCCCCGGGCCUUUGUACACACCGCCCCGUCAAGCCAUGGGAAGCCGGGGGGUACUUGGAGUUGCGUAAACCACGAAGGAUCCCCCCUAGGGUAAAAACUGGGGAACGGGGGGCUUAAGUCGUAAACAAGGAAGCCCGUAAGGGCCAAUUUCGGCGGCCCCCUAAAAUUCAAAUUCCCCCCUAUAGGGGAGGCCGGAUUAAAAAUUCCCGGGGGCCGUUUGUUUUUAAAAAGNCCNGGGGAACCCGUGGAAAAA
rnacentral:rRNA from 1 species